UAUAUCCUUCCACGCUUGCUCUCUCUCUCUCUGGAUUGCUGUUGCUGCGAGGGAGAAGAUAUCCUCACCGAAUCUCUCAUUGCCGCCGGAUCUUCGGAUCAAUCAACCACCACCAUCUCGCCAUUGAAUUCUCACUUCAUGGCACUUGCAUGCCGUGACACAGUACGCCUUAUCUUCCAGAAGCUCACCGUCGCGGAUCUAGCGCGUGCGAGCUGCGUUUGCAGAGUUUGGAACUCCGUUGCUACAGAGAACGAUCUGGUGGCCUCUGCUUUCACGGCGCCAUGGCGGAUCAAGGAACUCGUGGGGAAACCGGUUUCAGGCGCGUUCUGGAGAGAUAACGGAAUCUGGAAAUUCGCCAUCUCUCAUCGGAUCUCUCGUGGUGAUAGCGUCACUAGCCUCGCCGUUAAGUAUUCCGUUCAGGUUAUGGACAUAAAACGACUAAACAACAUGAUGAGCGACCAUGGGAUUUACUCAAGAGACAGACUGCUUAUUCCAAUAAGCAAUCCCGAAAUUCUCGUUAACACCACUUGCUACAUUGAGGUAGACAAGUACGCCAAACGUGAAGUAGCCGUGCUUUACCUCGAAGGUGGACCAAAAAGACAACAUUGUGCAUCUGGUAUGAAUCAUCUGUCCACACUAUCAGCCCAUGGAAAGCGGAGGCUAAUUGAAUCUCUAAGGAGAAGCAUGCAAGUCGAUGAUGAAACUGCCCUGUAUUACUUGGCUAUCGCUGAAGGAAAUCCAAGAUCCGCAUUGUCUGAGUUCUCGGCUGAUCUCACGUGGGAGAGGCAAGCCGGCCUCAACUAGGCUUGGCAAAGUAAAGCUCUUGUAGCUCCACUAUAUAAGUUGUUAUAAGAUUCAACCAUGGCCCACCAAGCAAACGUGCAAAGCAGAUUCCUCUUCCGGUGAUGCGGAACCGCCGACCGCCGCUAUAUACUCUCCGCCGAGAAGAAGUCUAUUGAACUAAAACUGGAAUCAGCCAAGGCUUAAAGCCAUCUCGGUGCUAUUCUGUAAGGAUUCGAUCAAUGAGAAGAAACAAAGCAUUGGAUUUGGGGUCACCAAGAGUGAAAGCUUCGGAAGGUAGCAAUCUCAUGGAGAAGGUCAUGCAUCCUAAUGUGCAGGUUUUCAGAGACUGCUACAAGCUAAACUCAUAGCUUGAGUUCUGAUUCUGUUGCCAUUGAUUUAUUGACUUGAUAGAAAGGAACUGCUUCUGAGUAUUGAGGCAUACUCACAUCAGGUUUAUAAACAACGUUUUGCUUUAAAGGUUCAUUGUGCAGAUUAGUAGACCAUUGUUCACUGAAACUUCACAUGAAGCAAAAUAUGCUGCUGUGAAGGAACUUCAUAUAAUAAGGAUGAUCCUCUACAUAUACUGAACAUUACCAACGAGAGUAAAUGAUGAGUUUGGAGCUUCAGGAGAAAGUGCUUUCCUGGUUUUGAGUCUUCCGUGCAAAGUGAGUGAGUCUUUGAGUCAUCCACUAUCAGAGUGUCCUGACAUAGAUGUCAUGUGUGAUAUUCCUGACAUAGAUGUCAUCGGAAUCUCCGGUAAACUUCUGUUCAGACAAGAAACCUGCAGUGUGAACUGGAUCGAGGGACGUGGCAAAUCAGUUGUUUGCGAGGCGGUAAUCAGAGAAGAGAUCAGGAACAAUAUAUAUGUGUACAUUAGUUAUUUAAACCUCUUUCAAAUCAGUGGUUUUGCUUUUUAAUUAUUGUUUCUAUUUGAGUUACAAUAACAGCAUGACAUUAGUUAUUUACACCUCUUUCAAAGAUCUGUCUCUCUUCAUUAUUUGCUAUUGAAGAUUAUUGAUAGCCUCUGAUCUCUUUCUUUCUUUCUUGAUUUUAGCACCAUGUUGGUUAUUAUACAUGAAGCAUAUGAUGGUCGAACAUCAGGACAGGUUUCAAUGGGCGACAUAGUGGUUAGAGGAAAGCUAUAUAUUGUCUGAGGACAACAGUGGGUCAUGGACCUGACUGAAACAGUUAAGAGAUAUACGGUAUUUUUUCCUAUCAUCACUUUUCAUUGAUAUCCGUUCCAUCUUUCUGCUGUUUUUAUCUUACUAGGAAAACGGUGAAGAAUACCAACUUUUCAAAAUGGUGAAGUGAUGAUAAUGAGCAAGGAAGCGGCUGAUAUGGAAAGUAAAUGAAGGUAAAAGGGGAAAUAGAGCUUCUCAUUACGCCGGAGUGGCUACUGAAAAUGCCGAUGUGGUUGGUUAGACAGUGCAAGUGACAAUCUCGACUGCAUGGACGGUAGAACGUGCAGUGGGGUAAGAAUGUGGCGUAACUGGCGUUGAUUUACAAAAUACAGCACCAGCUUCUGAUACCGUGGUUGGAUACGCAGAGAGCCAGAAACAGAGCUCAACACAGAUACCAAGAAAAGCACCAGAUACUGGCACAACUUAAGCCAAAGAUUUUAGCUUAUUCAAGUGUCAUAAUAUUGUUAUGUUUCUUAAGAAACUAUUUUUUGAUUUGUUGAGGGAGGCGAGGAAUAGAAGCGACCAGGGUUUGUCAUCUAAUCAAGGACAUGCUAUGGAUCGUAUGUAAGAGAUAUAUGAAGUAAAUAAAUUGUGUUCGGAUAUGGAACAAAA